AGUCAUAUGAAGCAUCGCCGAUGAAUGACAUUAUUGUCAAAAAGUUGGAGUGGAAGCGUGCUACUGCAUGCAUGCAAAUGAAUUUUUUUAUGACUCUCGACAACGGAUAUCUUGGCUCUUGCAUCGAUGAAGAACGCAGCGAAAUGCGAUAAGUGGUGUGAAUUGCAGAAUCCCGUGAACCAUCGAGUCUUUGAACGCAAGUUGCGCCCGAUGCCAUCAGGCUAAGGGCACGCCUGCCUGGGCGUCGUGU
rnacentral:rRNA from 2 species